GGUGGCUCAGUGGUAGAGUAUUUGCCUAGCAUGCAAGAAGCCCUGGGUUCAAUUCCUCAGUACCA
rnacentral:tRNA from 1 species